CUGGCUUGGAAAGAGCAUCUAUACUGUAAGUUUACACAGAUAACCUCUUUAUUUAAAAAUAUUCUUAUUAUUUGUAUUUUUAAAAAUAUUUAAGUCUUGAAUCCAUUUGGAAUUUAUUUCUGUAUAUAGUGUGAAGUAAAAUUUCAGCUAUUUUUUCUUUUGGAUGAAGAAUUUAUUAUGCCAGCACUAUUAAUUAUUAAAGUAACUAUUUUCUUUCUAAAUUGAAAUAUUACUUUGGUUAUUAUUGUCCUUUAUGUCUCUUGAAUCUCUUCCUAGGCUCUAGUGUUGUCCAUCAGUCCAUCCAGUUAUCUCUGUGCCAGUGGCAAAUUUCACUAGAUUACAGUGAAUUGGGGUCAUUUUACUAUGUGCCUCACCUCUCCAGGCCAGACCACCAACUGCAAGUCUUUUCUUGGCGGACUUACUGUCCUUUGCAACCAUCAGUCUAAAGUUCACUAUUUCAUCCUCUCCAGUCACACAGUUCUUUAAAGGAAGAAACAGAACAGGCUCCAUCUUGAAAGCAGGACUCCAGCUUGGGCUCAACUGUGGACUUGGAGCUCUAUGCCCAGUAUCUACGGAAACGACGUACCAACUGGAAAACCAGACCCCUGGAUGGAAGAACCCCAGGGCUUGUACCUAGACUCUCCAUCGCCUAAAAGAAUACCUUAAUUAUCUGUGUAACCGAAUAGAAUCAUGAAUUCUAUUAUGCUUAUUGGGGUAUGACCACAGGCCUAUUGGUAAUUGCCCACUGUUAACUACCUAGGCUUAAGGCAUACGAAUCACAGGUUAACUUUGAUUGUAUCUUUCUUUUCCUUUGUUCAGGCUAGUUUCAGAGAAUUUGGGGAGAUGGAUUUGAGCACGUACACUUAGGGUAUAUAAGGUUUUCACAAAAACUGCUUGGGGUCCUUGGCUAGG
rnacentral:lncRNA from 1 species